UAGCCAAAAAGUCCAAAACACUCUCAAUGCACGGAUACAUAGGCUGGUCACUAUAGGACCCCAGAAAACUAUGAAUGCACGGAUACAUAGGCUGAUCACUAUAGGACCCCCAGAAAACUAUAAAUGCACGGAUACACAGACUGAUCAGUAUAGGACCCCAGAAAACUAUCAAUGCACGGACACACAGGCUGAUCGUUAUAGGGUCCCGUUUAUAUAACAUGGGUCAUAAUUAAUUGUUGUAAUUUGAUGGACCAAGUCUGGCCUUUUGUAAAAAUUAAUUGAUCCUUAAUUACAGGAAAUUCAGUUUUACGUGAUUUUAAUUUUUCACUGUUUGUUUUGUAGAAUUGUGGAGAUCUAGAUUUAAAUAUGUGUUGUUCAUUGACAUGAUAAACAAAAGACUGUGACCUUGUAUCUGAAGAUCUGUCUUGAAAGCCGGACGUUUUGGAUCACUCUCUGUUAUUGUACAACAUAUUUAACAGUGACACACUCAGCCACAAAGAGGUUGUCUCUGAUGUCCAUACAUAAACCAUAUGGACGGCUUAAAUCACAGUGAAUGUAACGGAGGAACUGUCCGUCCUGAUCUAGGAUGUGGAUACACUGAUUGUGAAAGUCUGACGUCAGGAUGUGACUCUGGCUGUCUGCAGUGAUGCCGACUGGAUUAGAUAUUAGAAGGAUAGCCAGUGUAUCUAAAUCGGAGUUUUCCUGACUUAUUUACCACCACUACAGCUUUAGCUCCACUGUCAGCCACACAGAUGUCCAUAUUCUUGUUCUCAUUGAUGUAUUUAAUAAAAUUAUCAGAUGAAUAGA